rnacentral:misc_RNA from 1 species
AGAAAGGUUGAGACACAAGAAAGCACAAUUAAAAAAUUAAAAAUAAAUAAAAAGCAGCAUACACACGCGCAAGAAAGCUUGGAGCAGAUAAGACUUAUGCGCUUCCAGCUCCUAAUUAACCUGGAUCAAUCGUCGAAGAAGUGAACAUAUGAUAAGGUGAUAUCAAGAAGUCUAGAGCACGAGACCAAUCAGUCUUUCAAAGACAAAUCGAU